rnacentral:rRNA from 1 species
CCUACGGGGGGCUGCAGUGGGGAAUAUUGCACAAUGGGCGCAAGCCUGAUGCAGCCAUGCCGCGUGUGUGAAGAAGGCCUUCGGGUUGUAAAGCACUUUCAGCGGGGAGGAAGGCGGUGAGGUUAAUAACCUCAUCGAUUGACGUUACCCGCAGAAGAAGCACCGGCUAACUCCGCGCCAGCAGCCGCGGUAAUACGGAGGGUGCAAGCGUUAAUCGGAAUUACUGGGCGUAAAGCGCACGCAGGCGGUCUGUCAAGUCGGAUGUGAAAUCCCCGGGCUCAACCUGGGAACUGCAUUCGAAACUGGCAGGCUAGAGUCUUGUAGAGGGGGGUAGAAUUCCAGGUGUAGCGGUGAAAUGCGUAGAGAUCUGGAGGAAUACCGGUGGCGAAGGCGGCCCCCUGGACAAAGACUGACGCUCAGGUGCGAAAGCGUGGGGAGCAAACAGGAUUAGAUACCCUUGUAGUC